rnacentral:rRNA from 1 species
GACGAACGCUGGCGGCGUGCCUAAUACAUGCAAGUCGAACGCACUCUCGUUUAGAUUGAAGGAGCUUGCUCCUGAUUGAUAAACAUUUGAGUGAGUGGCGGACGGGUGAGUAACUCGUGGGUAACCUGCCCUAAAGUGGGGAUAACAUUUGGAAACAGAUGCUAAUACCGCAUAAAACCUAACACCGCAUGGUGUAGGGUUGAAAGAUGGUUUCGGCUAUCACUUUAGGAUGGACCCGCGGUGCAUUAGUUAGUUGGUGAGGUAAAGGCUCACCAAGACCGUGAUGCAUAGCCGACCUGAGAGGGUAAUCGGCCACACUGGGACUGAGACACGGCCCAGACUCCUACGGGAGGCAGCAGUAGGGAAUCUUCCACAAUGGACGAAAGUCUGAUGGAGCAACGCCGCGUGAGUGAAGAAGGUUUUCGGAUCGUAAAACUCUGUUGUUGGAGAAGAAUGUAUCUGAUAGUAACUGAUCAGGUAGUGACGGUAUCCAACCAGAAAGCCACGGCU